rnacentral:misc_RNA from 1 species
AACUCUCAAACCGCAUCUUUAUUGAUCGGGUUUGGAUUUGGACGUUGCUGGACUUGUCAGUUCGGCUCGUCUCGAAUGCAUUAGCUGUAGAUUUCGAUUUCAGUUAAACCGUGUGAUAAUACAUCAACGCGGGCAGCCGUCAAGGCGCUGGAUCGUUACUCGAAGGCUUAUAAUCGUCCUUUACGGGACCGCCUUUACUGGUGUUUCAUUUCAC